rnacentral:rRNA from 1 species
CCUACGGGUGGCAGCAGUGAGGAAUAUUGGUCAAUGGCCGGAAGUCUGAACCAGCCAAGUCGCGUGAGGGACCACUGCCCUAUGGGUUGUAAACCUCUUUUAUAAGGGAAGAAUAAAUGCUACGUGUAGCAUGAUGCCUGUACCUUAUGAAUAAGCAUCGGCUAACUCCGUGCCAGCAGCCGCGGUAAUACGGAGGAUGCGAGCGUUAUCCGGAUUUACUGGGCGUAAAGGGUGCGUAGGUGGUUUCUUAAGUCAGAGGUGAAAGGCUACUGCUAAACCGUAUUCAGCUGUUGAAACUGGCGUGCUCGAGUGGGAGAGAAGUAUGCGGAAUGCGUGGUGUAGCGGUGAAAUGCAUAGAUAUCACGAAGAACCCCGAUUGCGAAGGCAGCAUACCGGCUCCACACUGACGCUGAGGCACGAAAGCGUGGGUAUCGAACAGGAUUAGAUACCCGAGUAGUC